AACGAACGCUGGCGGCGCGUCUUAACCAUGCAAGUCGAGCGGCAGGCAGCAAUGCCGAGAGCGGCGGACUGGUGAGUAACACGUGGAUAACGUACCCCGCUGACCGGGACAGCCUGUAGAAAUAGAGGGUGAUACCGGAUAGAUCACUGUUUACGGAAGGUAGACAGCGGGAAAGGAGUUUCGGCUCCGCGACGGGAUCGGUCUGCGGCCCAUC
rnacentral:rRNA from 1 species